rnacentral:lncRNA from 1 species
AAGAAGUUAAAAAAGAAAACACAGAUGGAGUUUUUACUCUUCCCAAGUAAAAGUCAACACCAGCAGAUUGGAGAAGACGAUACAUACAUACAUACACAUUCAUAUACUCACACUGUCCUACAUACCCAUUUCAUUCUUUUUACUCGAGCUCCUUUCAGAGUCAUCUGGGUAUCAUGAAGUAAGUACACCAUUUACUAACUAUUUUUUUCUUAAUUUUGUUUUUUCUUGUUUGGUAAAUUGAAGUCUUCAUUUCCUGG